rnacentral:tRNA from 1 species
GCUCGGGUGGUGGAAUGGCAGACACGCAUGUUUGAGGGGCAUGUGGCGCAAGCCGUGGGGGUUCAAGUCCCCCCCCGAGCA